UCCUCAGUAGCUCAGUGGUAGAGCGGUCGGCUGUUAACUGACCGGUAGGUUCAAAACAUAGGGAA